GUGCUUGCUUCAGCAGCACAUAUGCUAAAAAUUGGAACAAUAUAGUGAAGAUUAGCAUGGCCCCUGCACAAGGAUAACAUGCAAAUUCGUGAAGCAUUCUGUAUUUCA
ensembl:snRNA U6 U6 spliceosomal RNA